AUUCCUUUUUAAAAAUGAAUUUAUGAUGUCAAGCUAAAUGAGCUGAGAAAAGGGAACCAGCAACAAUCUUCACCGUGGAAUUAAAAGCCAACUAAUGAGGCUGCAGAACUACGGAAACCCAGGGAAGGCAACAGUCCCUGUGAAGUACCAUUCAUAAAGGAAGGCUAAGGGCAAGCCGCCCAGCCAAUCACAAGCAUGCACUCUGCCGCUGUUCUUCUGAGCCUGAACUGCUAGUAAGUAGGUCCGUUUGCUAGCUGCGUGUACUGUGCUCUCUGUUUGCUUUAUAUGAUGCUGCCUUUAUACAGGCUCCAAGGUUAAGAACUGCAGAUUACAGAUUGAACUUGAGCUGCCUGUCCACAGGUCAGAGUUUGCAAAGAGCCCCCACCCCGUUUAGAUUCCUAUCCAACCUCAAGAAAGACCCUCUUUUCCCGGUCACCUUAUAUUCAGUUACCCUUGCAACCUUCCAAACCCCCAGUCUCUGAUCACACCUCAGGGCAAUGCGGGAGGACAGUUCUCUUGCAUUGCCAAUGGCUCUCAAUGGAGUUGUUUCUUAAUGGCCCUAGCUUGGCCAGGUCGUUUUGCAUAGGCUAGCCCAGGAAUUUCUCUGCAGCUUGUUGUUCUCCCACAUAAUCAAAAUCCUACCAUGUAUUAAUUUCUGGGGUUUAGAGCCCCAUCAAAUCUAUAACAAUAUUAAUUUGUUCCAGUGAGCAUAUGGCUAGUGCUCAAAGCCAGAACCAUAGCAAAAGAAACAAACAAAACCCCCUGACAAAUAGUGAAAAUUGUAAAUAUUCACUUUGAAAGAGUAAAACCAUAAUACAAAAGAAACUAA